rnacentral:rRNA from 1 species
GACGAACGCUGGCGGCGUGCCUAAUACAUGCAAGUCGAACGCACUCUCGUUUAGAUUGAAGGAGUUUGCUCCUGAUUGAUAAACAUUUGAGUGAGUGGCGGACGGGUGAGUAACACGUGGGUAACCUGCCCUAAAGUGGGGGAUAACAUUUGGAAACAGAUGCUAAUACCGCAUAAAACCUAACACCGCAUGGUGUAGGGUUGAAAGAUGGUUUCGGCUAUCCCUUUAGGAUGGACCCGCGGUGCAUUAGUUAGUUGGUGAGGUAAAAGCUCACCAAGACCGUGAUGCAUAGCCGACCUGAGAGGGUAAUCGGCCACACUGGGACUGAGACACGGCCCAGACUCCUACGGGAGGCAGCAGUAGGGAAUCUUCCACAAUGGACGAAAGUCUGAUGGAGCAACGCCGCGUGAGUGAAGAAGGUUUUCGGAUCGUAAAACUCUGUUGUUGGAGAAGAAUGUAUCUGAUAGUAACUGAUCAGGUAGUGACGGUAUCCAACCAGAAAGCCACGGCUAACUACGUG